GAUGAACGCUGGCGGCGUGCCUAAUACAUGCAAGUCGAGCGAACGGACGAGAAGCUUGCUUCUCUGAUGUUAGCGGCGGACGGGUGAGUAACACGUGGAUAACCUACCUAUAAGACUGGGAUAACUUCGGGAAACCGUAGCUAAUACCAGAUAAUAUUUUGAACCGCAUGGUUCAAAAGUGAAAGACGGUCUUGCUGUCACUUAUAGAUGGAUCCGCGCUGCAUUAGCUAGUUGGUAAGGUAACGGCUUACCAAGGCAACGAUGCAUAGCCGACCUGAGAGGGUGAUCGGCCACACUGGAACCGAGACACGGUCCAGACUCCUACGGGAGGCAGCAGUAGGGAAUCUUCCGCAAUGGGCGAAAGCCUGACGGAGCAACGCCGCGUGAGUGAUGAAGGUCUUCGGAUCGUAAAACUCUGUUAUUAGGGAAGAACAUAUGUGUAAGUAACUGUGCACAUCUUGACGGUACCUAAUCAGAAAGCCACGGCUAACUACGUG
rnacentral:rRNA from 1 species